UACGGAGGGUGCAAGCGUUAUCCGGAUUCACUGGGUUUAAAGGGUGCGUAGGCGAGCAGGUAAGUCAGUGGUGAAAUCUCCGGGCUUAACCCGGAACUGCCGUUGAUACUAUCUGUCUUGAAUAUCGUGGAGGUAAGCGGAAUAUGUCAUGUAGCGGUGAAAUGCUUAGAUAUGACAUAGAACACCCAUUGCGAAGGCAGCUUACUACACGAUCAUUGACGCUGAGGCACGAAAGCGUGGGGGAGCAAACAGG
rnacentral:rRNA from 1 species